UUGUGUGUGAGGAGUGGUAUUAAAGAAAAAGCUCUUGGGGUCGAAACACGGCAAGACUCCCAAGAGCUUUUUCUA
rnacentral:sRNA from 1 species